rnacentral:rRNA from 1 species
GACGAACGCUGGCGGCGUGCCUAAUACAUGCAAGUCGAACGAGAGCGACCGGUGCUUGCACUGGUCAAUCUAGUGGCGAACGGGUGAGUAACACGUGGGUAACCUGCCCAUCAGAGGGGGAUAACAUCCGGAAACGGAUGCUAAAACCGCAUAGGUCUUCGAACCGCAUGGUUUGAAGAGGAAAAGAGGCGCAAGCUUCUGCUGAUGGAUGGACCCGCGGUGCAUUAGCUAGUUGGUGAGGUAACGGCUCACCAAGGCCGUGAUGCAUAGCCGACCUGAGAGGGUGAUCGGCCACAUUGGGACUGAGACACGGCCCAAACUCCUACGGGAGGCAGCAGUAGGGAAUCUUCCGCAAUGGACGCAAGUCUGACGGAGCAACGCCGCGUGAGUGAAGAAGGUUUUCGGAUCGUAAAACUCUGUUGUUAGAGAGGAACAAGUGCUAGAGUAACUGUUAGCGCCUUGACGGUAUCUAACCAGAAAGCCACGGCUAACUACGUG